rnacentral:rRNA from 1 species
UGGGGAAUUUUGGACGAAUUGGGCGAAAGCCUGAUCCAGCAAUGCCGCGUGUGUGAAGAAGGCCUUCGGGUUGUAAAGCACUUUUUGUCCGGAAAGAAAUCCUUGGCUCUAAUACAGUCGGGGGAUGACGGUACCGGAAGAAUAAGCACCGGCUAACUACGUGCCAGCAGCCGCGGUAAUACGUAGGGUGCAAGCGUUAAUCGGAAUUACUGGGCGUAAAGCGUGCGCAGGCGGUUUGCUAAGACCGAUGUGAAAUCCCCGGGCUCAACCUGGGAACUGCAUUGGUGACUGGCAGGCUAGAGUAUGGCAGAGGGGGGUAGAAUUCCACGUGUAGCAGUGAAAUGCGUAGAGAUGUGGAGGAAUACCGAUGGCGAAGGCAGCCCCCUGGGCCAGUACUGACGCUCAUGCACGAAAGCGUGGGGAGCAAAC